UCUGGCUCCGUGUCUUCACUCC
rnacentral:ncRNA from 4 species